AUCCAAUCACGGAGCCAGGGGGGCGAGCAUUCCAGCCUCUUCCCCCAAAUAUAAUCACUUAUCCAAGGAAGACGCCAUGUAGUGUGUGUGUGAGGGCGUUAAGCUACAGGUGCAUGAGGAGGUCAGACAGAAGCCCCACAGUCUGAGUGAAGACCAGCUCACCACCAGCUCUACUCUGACUGGCUUCCCAUUUUACUCCAGAUAUGCAGCCUCAAUGGACGACAUCUGGGAAGAAGAGGAACGUUAGACAGACCAACUGAGACAACACCUUCUCUGUGCUGAAGGUCUGAAAGAAAAGACACGAGGUGUUGGUGGGGGAGGAGCAGCAGACUGGAUGGAGACAAGGACAUCAAGGUGCUAACAAGGAUUGGUUUCCUCAGACUUAAAGCUGGCCAAUCAUCAGUCAGGGACCUCGAUAAACAGAGCACGCCAGAAGAGUUCACGCUUUUUUUUAUUCUGUCUGCCUGAGCUGUUAUGCACUGUUUUGAAAACUUGUUAAGAAUAAUAUAAAAAUGGUUAUGUGGCGGGAGGUUGAGGAAGGUAAGUGGAGUUGGGGUACCCUUUACAUUUUUCAUAUAUGCUGCUCACCUUUAGGAUUAUUGGUUUCUUAUUACCUUUGUAUUCAUUUUGAUGAAGUUCUUUUAGAUGAGCUAGAUGGCAUUUUGCUUUCAGAGAUUGAAAUUAAUCAAGUCUAGUUUUGUUAUAUUGAUUUCUAUGUGUUUGGCACAAUUUCGUCCUCUGCCACAUUUUGAGAAUCUUUAUGUUUGCAAGUAACUAUGAGGUGAAAAUAAAUCUAUUUAAAUCUA